AGUGAACGCUGGCGGUAGGCCUAACACAUGCAAGUCGAACGGCAGCACAGUAAGAGCUUGCUCUUACGGGUGGCGAGUGGCGGACGGGUGAGGAAUACAUCGGAAUCUACUUUUUCGUGGGGGAUAACGUAGGGAAACUUACGCUAAUACCGCAUACGACCUACGGUUGAAAGCAGGGGAUCUUCGGACCUUGCGCGAUUGAAUGAGCCGAUGUCGGAUUAGCUAGUUGGCGGGGUAAAGGCCCACCAAGGCGACGAUCCGUAGCUGGUCUGAGAGGAUGAUCAGCCACACUGGAACUGAGACACGGUCCAGACUCCUACGGGAGGCAGCAGUGGGGAAUAUUGGACAAUGGGCGCAAGCCUGAUCCAGCGAUACCGCGUGGGUGAAGAAGGCCUUCGGGUUGUAAAGCCCUUUUGUUGGGAAAGAAAAGCAGCAGGUUAAUACCCCGCUGUUCUGACGGUACCCAAAGAAUAAGCACCGGCUAACUUCGUG
rnacentral:rRNA from 1 species